rnacentral:rRNA from 1 species
UCAGAUGAACGCUGCGGCGUGCCUAAUACAUGCAAGUCGAACGAGUUCUCGUUGAUGAUCGGUGCUUGCACCGAGAUUCAACAUGGAACGAGUGGCGGACGGGUGAGUAACACGUGGGUAACCUGCCCUUAAGUGGGGGAUAACAUUUGGAAACAGAUGCUAAUACCGCAUAGAUCCAAGAACCGCAUGGUUCUUGGCUGAAAGAUGGCGUAAGCUAUCGCUUUUGGAUGGACCCGCGGCGUAUUAGCUAGUUGGUGAGGUAAUGGCUCACCAAGGCGAUGAUACGUAGCCGAACUGAGAGGUUGAUCGGCCACAUUGGGACUGAGACACGGCCCAAACUCCUACGGGAGGCAGCAGUAGGGAAUCUUCCACAAUGGACGCAAGUCUGAUGGAGCAACGCCGCGUGAGUGAAGAAGGCUUUCGGGUCGUAAAACUCUGUUGUUGGAGAAGAAUGGUCGGCAGAGUAACUGUUGUCGGCGUGACGGUAUCCAACCAGAAAGCCACGGCUAACUACGUGCCAGCAGCCGCGGUAAUACGUAGGUGGCAAGCGUUAUCCGGAUUUAUUGGGCGUAAAGCGAGCGCAGGCGGUUUUUUAAGUCUGAUGUGAAAGCCCUCGGCUUAACCGAGGAAGCGCAUCGGAAACUGGGAAACUUGAGUGCAGAAGAGGACAGUGGAACUCCAUGUGUAGCGGUGAAAUGCGUAGAUAUAUGGAAGAACACCAGUGGCGAAGGCGGCUGUCUGGUCUGUAACUGACGCUGAGGCUCGAAAGCAUGGGUAGCGAACAGGAUUAGAUACCCUGGUAGUCCAUGCCGUAAACGAUGAAUGCUAGGUGUUGGAGGGUUUCCGCCCUUCAGUGCCGCAGCUAACGCAUUAAGCAUCCGCC